rnacentral:rRNA from 1 species
UACGUAGGUGGCAAGCGUUGUCCGGAUUUACUGGGCGUAAAGGAUGCGUAGGCGGACAUUUAAGUCAGAUGUGAAAUACCCGAGCUUAACUUGGGUGCUGCAUUUGAAACUGGGUGUCUAGAGUGCAGGAGAGGUAAGUGGAAUUCCUAGUGUAGCGGUGAAAUGCGUAGAUAUCUGGAGGAACACCGGUGGCGAAGGCGGCAUCCUGGACCGACACUGACGCUGAGGAGCGAAAGCCAGGGGAGCAAACGGG